rnacentral:tRNA from 1 species
CCGCCCUUAGCUCAGCUGGAUAGAGCGUCGCCCUCCGGAGGCGAAGGUCAUGCGUUCGAAUCGCAUAGGGCGGACCA